UAGGGAAUCUUCCACAAUGGACGCAAGUCUGAUGGAGCAACGCCGCGUGAGUGAAGAAGGCUUUCGGGUCGUAAAACUCUGUUAUUGAAGAAGAACGUGUGUGACAGUAACUGGUCAUGCAGUGACGGUAUUCAAUCAGAAAGUCACGGCUAACUACGUGCCAGCAGCCGCGGUAAUACGUAGGUGGCAAGCGUUGUCCGGAUUUAUUGGGCGUAAAGCGAGUGCAGGCGGUCUUUUAAGUCUGAUGUGAAAGCCUUCGGCUUAACCGAAGAAGGGCAUCGGAAACUGGGAGACUUGAGUGCAGAAG
rnacentral:rRNA from 1 species